rnacentral:rRNA from 1 species
GACGAACGCUGGCGGCGUGCCUAAUACAUGCGAGUAGAACGCUGAAGGAGGAGCUUGCUCUUCUGGAUGAGUUGCGAACGGGUGAGUAACGCGUAGGUAACCUGCCUGGUAGCGGGGGAUAACUAUUGGAAACGAUAGCUAAUACCGCAUAAUAGUAGAUGUUGCAUGAUAUUUACUUAAAAGGUGCAAUUGCACCACUACCAGAUGGACCUGCGUUGUAUUAGCUAGUUGGUGGGGUAACGGCUCACCAAGGCGACGAUACAUAGCCGACCUGAGAGGGUGAUCGGCCACACUGGGACUGAGACACGGCCCAGACUCCUACGGGAGGCAGCAGUAGGGAAUCUUCGGCAAUGGACGAAAGUCUGACCGAGCAACGCCGCGUGAGUGAAGAAGGGUUUCGGAUCGUAAAGCUCUGUUGUAAGAGAAGAACGAGUGUGAGAGUGGAAAGUUCACACUGUGACGGUAUCUUACCAGAAAGGGACGGCUAACUACGUG